GGGCUUGGUGGGAAUCAUCUUCACGAAUCCAGCAUCACCAUUUUUCAAAAACUUAGGCUCCUUCUCGAGCUCUUUGCCAGACCUACGAUCAAUUUUGGUCAAGAUUUCAGCAAACUUGACAGCAAUGUGAGAGGUGUGGCAAUCCAGGACUGGGGCAUAACCAUUUCCAAUCUGACCAGGGUGGCUCAUGAUGAUAACCUGAUAUGUGAAAU
rnacentral:misc_RNA from 1 species